rnacentral:pre_miRNA from 1 species
AGCUUUUCGACUCUGUGCUGAGAUUUCGUCAGCCACCAACCCAUUAGGGCUGAGGGGACUUCCAAAAUAAGUGAAGUU